AAUAUUUUCAUUUUCAUUUCGACAGUUACAGAAAAAAGUUGUUUCUCAGUGAUUUUUGUGAUAAAAGAGUAUUUUUAACUUAUAAUUAAUUGAUAAGAGUAAUUAUUAAAAGAAACUAAAUAUAAUAAUUGAUUCAAGAGAAGAAAAUGGAAUGGAGAGUAAAAAAAGCUUUGUGGCGAAUGUGUCGCGCUGUAUAUAUGAAGGACGAAAGAAACUUUGACGGAAAUAUUCUCGAAAAGACAAAAAAAAAAAAAGGAGAAAGAUACUUUGGUCCCAUCAGGGAUCCGAAGAAAUUCUUUGGUGAAUUCUUCUUUUGGUGAACGGAUUUUAUGUGAAGGUGCGCAAAAGAAAACAAUAGUGGAAGAAUUAGAAGUAGACAAUAGAAGAAAAGAGGAUGGACAUUUCAGAGGAUUGUUGGGACCACGUGGGGCUUCUUCAGGAGGUCCCGGGAGCGGAACAACCACCACCGCCACCCCCUACCUCUGAUUUUCUCAUGCAUCAUCAACACGAGGUUAGUGGUCCUUUCUCUCCUCUUUGAAAAAAUUUAGGUAUCAUAUAUGUGGUUAGGUUAAAUUUCGCUAAGGCAAAACUAUGGUUAGGUAAAAUUUCGGAGGGGUAAAAUUAUGGUCGGGCAAAACUAUGGUUGGAUA